ensembl:lncRNA
GGCUUUAGGCUGCAGCUUCGCCUCCGUGAGGAAGACUUCUGAGGCUGGAAAUGGGACACUGUAACUGAUGAUUUAAUGACAAUUUGAAAUGAUGAAGGAAGAGAACCCUGCCUUUCCCAGAAGUGAACUUUGGGCCUCUGUGUUCCAGUUUCAGAGGGAAAGUUGGCUGCUCUGUGUUUAUGAGUCUACGCAGGGGUCCAGAAGGUCUUCACAAGUCGUCUCAGGGGUCUGGAAAGGUCUUUUGGAUGGGAGGUAGAGGGAGUAGGUGGCACUGCUCUGGAUGGCACCUUUGUGAACUGAACCUCCGGGGAAACCACAACACCGAUUGCUCCGGCGGCCGCGGACCGCAGACCGAGAAUAGAGGGCUGACCACUUCCUGACAGGGUGGUUUGACUGCUGGGGCCGAGCAGGGGGCAGCUGUAGACAGAGGACUGGAUCCGCCCAGGCCUCAGCCUGCACAGGACACUUGCUGACACCUGGGUUUCGGAUUUCUGCACACACAGCAGGAAGGAAGAAUCCAGGGCCCCUUCUCACCCACCUGGUGGCUCAGAUGGUAAAGAAUCUGCCUGUCAAUGCAGGAGACUCAGGCUCGACCCCUGGGUUGGGAAGAUUUCCUGGAGGAGGGAAUGGCUACCCAAUCCAGUAUUCUUGCCUGGGAAAUCCCGUGGACAGAGGAGCCUGUUGGGCUGCAGACCACGGGGGUCGCAAAGAAUUGGAUACGACUGAGCUACUAAUACUUUCUCACCCACACUGUGCAGCUCCUAUUUCAGUGAGGAAGGAGGCAGCCUGGGCGCAUGUAAAGAAACCUCCAGUGAUUGUUCCUUUGUCACGAGUGCGUGUCUCCGCUCCGGUCCUUUCUGUUCAGAUGGUGAGUGGGUGUGUAGGACACAGGAGCUGUGCCCUGCUGCCUGCCCGUGUCUGCUGCGUGCCUGGCACACCUGGAGAAGGGCGCCCUCAAGCGCAGCAGAACCAGAGCGCUCCUGCCCUGAGACCUGGGAGCACUGAAUUGGGGCUCUGAGCCAUCAGGCUCACUGGAGACGGGCCUCGCUUCUCAGCAGCCUCUGCUCCUGUUGCGGGGUGGUCAUUUCCCAGCAUUGAGAAUGCUGUCCUGGGAAGGGGGGAGACUCCAGCCCCUGGAGGAGGAGAAGGUGGUGAGGCGGUCCCUGAGUUUGGCUCCCAGGUCCACUUCCUUUUCUACUGUUUGACAGCACAGAGCAGUUACGCGUGAAAACCCCAAACUGCUUACUUCCUAAUGAAGAGAAUUCAGAUCACGUUGGCUGUGGAAAUCCACGCUUAUGAGUGGGUACUGUCCCAGUUCCCCAUGACGGAUCACCCCUCAGGCUUCCGAGCCCCGGGCGUGUCCCCUGCGGGAAGCGUCUGAGCAGCAAGCAUUCUUUGUGAGUGAGACAGGAGCAUUGUCAGGAGCAUAACUAGGCUUACAAACACCUGCUCGCCCUCCCACAUCCUGCGUGCAGGUACAAGUGCAGUUUUCAGCAGAGACAGGUCUAUUUCCCAACAGCUCCAACAGGUAAAAACUGGCAGAAGUUCCUGGCAUCACACGCCCCCUAAUUGUCCUUCUAGCUGAUACCUGUUCUGAGUCGCUCCAGGUGGAUUUAGGAUAAAGCCGUCCUGUGAUUCUCCAACUGCGAGGCAUUCCACGGGCCUUGCCUUUAAGCUCGGUGGUUGCACAGACCAUACAGAGGGGCUCAGAGGAUCACAGGCCAAGUCGGAGGAGGGCUGCCUGGCUGUGUCGGCUGCCUGACGCGCUGAGCGAACAGGUGUAUGUAAAGGUGGCUCCGCCUCCCAGCAGACAGCGCCCGCCGGGACCUGCAGGUCACAGCACGCAGCGAGGGUUUCCAGAGUGAGGUGUAAAAUUCCAAAGGUUUGGGUUCGGUUCAGAUAAGCACCCACACGUUUGCCUCUUUGGUUGAAACCUGCCUAAAACGUCUCAAACGGCCUGUUAGGUUGGGCUGGGAAUCUUGAGCAGCUCCCUGUCUCCUGAGGCUUUCGGCGCUUCCUGGAAGAGUCAGCGCAGAUUAGUGUUUCCAAGUCUGAGCCCAAGAUGCAAAAGUCUUGAAGCUCACUUUCUAUUGUCUUGUGUCCUGAGGCCGUACUCCCUGCAGGAGCUGGGGUGCUCUGGAGAGGAAGCUGGAGCUCAGGCCUGAAGCUCCUGGCUGGGCUGGUAGGGAGGGUGCCUUUGCUUCCCACCUCUGAGUGAUUAUUUUCAUUCUGAGAAAGGGAAAACACGGCCUGGUUGUGGCCCCCAGAUUGGUGCUGGGGGCCCUUCUCUAGGAGGCGAGGGGUGACGGGGCAGGCCCGGGAACCAGGUGGAUUCCCUGGAGACCCAGCACCUCUGGACAGCUAGAGAGGAUGGGGUGUCCGGCCACUGACUGUAGGCGCAACCAGCACUGCCCGGGCCCUGUCCCAGCUCCUGGUUCCAUGCAGGGGACUGGGGAUUACAGAAGGGGAGCGAGUGACCCCAGGAAGAGCAGCUCCACUGGGCUCGGCCUCCUGCCCAAUACCCGAGAGGGGCAGGGCUCUGUGUGAACUGGCCCGUGUCCUGCCUUCUCUGCCAUGAGCGUGCUCUGCAUCCUGGGGUGGUCUCUGCCUGUUUCUUGUCCUCACCUUCCCCUGAUUGUCACGGUCGACAAGAACUGGUCAUAGUUCCUCUGGCCGUUUCCUGGGCGUCCUCAGAGCUGCCUUUGUAUCACUCACUCAAAUACAGCAAUUUGGAAAGAUUUCCCUGGAGUCUUCCCUGCCUGGUCCAGUUCUUCUCAGGCCUCCGCGGAGGGGCCUGCUGGCCCUGUAGGAGGCGUGGCGCUGCCACGGAGGGCAGCGCAUGUGGAGGGGGACCUGGGGUGGACCAGAGACAGGGGUCUUCACUGCCUCCUGGGGGACACUGGCUUCCCACAGCCCUGGGUUCCUGGCUGUGGACAGACAGCAGAUCUGAGAAGCAUUUCCUGCCUGAGGACAGGUUACGUCUGGAGCCGGGGCUGCAGCACAGUGGAGGUGGUGGUUUGGUUCUUGUUGUUUAGUGGCUCCCUCGUGUCCAACUCUGCUCCUCUGUCCACGGGAUUGUCCAGGCAAGAAUACUGGAGUGGGUUUCCAGGGGAUUUUCCCGACCUAGGGAUCGAACCUGCAUCUCCUGCCUUGGCAGGCGGGUUCUUUCCUGUUGAGGCACUGGGGACGGCCCUCUACAGGUUUUGGUCCAUAACUGUCUGUCAGAGUGACGACAUCUGACUCUUGUUGGUGUGGACUUACAGCCUGUCUCAUUUUGAGUCUGUGGUUAAAUGGGUGAGCCCGGACCUGCUUGCCAUCCCCGCGUUGCUGGGGUCCACAGGUUGGGGGUGGCUGGGUUGGGAUGGCACUGUCUGAAGCCCCUCGAUUUCUGAAGCCUUUGUUUAGUUUCACACAGGGGUCUGUGCUGAGGCAGCCAGAGCAGAGUCUCACUUCUUUUUUUGCUGGAGAAUAAAAAGGGCCGACAUCUCAUGUUUAUUAUUAUGGAAUUUUUCUCAGCAAAGCUGAAGAAAUACAUCAAGAUAGUUUGUUCUCAGGGGACGGAGUUCAGACAUUUCAUAACAUAUAAAUAAUUGUCCUUAACAUGAGCCACUUAUUCUAUGUCUUCUUUGUUUAUGGGGAAUUUUCCUUAUUGAAUGAUAAGAUGACUAACACUCAAUCUGUGGGCUUGAUGUCCAAUUCUGGAUUCUUGACCUCACCUCCUGCAUCUGGGGGCUGAGAAAAUUCCUGGGACGUGGUGACGAGAUCUUUGCUGAGCCCCUGUGUGCUCGCCCCACACCGCGGGGCCCUGGUUAGGACAGGCUGGCUAUGCCCACGUGGGCAGGCCCUCAGCAUGUCUGGCCCCUGAUCUCGGGUAACAGCUAUUCUCAUGUGUAACUGGAAUUUGAAAGUGGAAGGGCCCCCGCGGAAUAUGAGGCCAUGAAUUAUUUUCUCCUGGAGAACUUUCACCCCAGGUCUUCUGAAACUUGCUGGCCACUCACAGAACCUCGGAGUUUGUGGAAAAGCGCUGUGCUGGGCCUAGAGGUGCAUUUGUCGGGACCAGCAGAGUCUCCCUUGUCAGAAGCAGGCUGCUUUCCCGGAAGUCACAUGUUCUCUGGAAACACGGGGUGUCUCUGUGAGUCAGCAGCUUAGCAAAAGUCGUGAUUUAAUUUAACCAUGCUGAUUUUGGUUACCCUGCCCACACAAAGUGAACAUUUUCUGAGCUAUGAAACGAAAUUGGAGGCAAUUUCCUCUUUGUCUUAUUUCAUUAACAUUUCAGACUCAAAUUUGGCCUUGAGGAGGGUGCACCAAAGGCAGCGCUUUGGGCACAAGGAACCCAGAGGCGCUUAGUGUUUACGCCUACAGACUCUGACGUUGCUCAGCCUGCUGUUUUACAAUGUUCUGGAGCCAUGGGCACUCUGGGCCACCCGCAGGGGCCGUGCUGCGCUAGGCCCCUCUCAGGCCCUGGCCCUACAAGGUCACCUGUCCCCGGCAGGCUCUGACUGCACCCCCACCCUCUGAGAUCUCCUUCUUCCUCUCUUUGCUUCCUCAGUUUCACAGCAUGUGUCGCCAUCCAAGGGUAGAAUCCUUGUCCUGUUCACUGCUCGAUCCCCAGUCUCUAGGCAGUGCCCGGUACUUACUUAUGAAGUGUCCACAAUUAAAUGAAUUAUCUGUAAUGGCAAUUCCUCUAAACCAGAGACCAAAGCGCCCGGUUUUUGCCUUUUUUUUUUUUUUAAACCGAAACCCCAUGCUUUUCCCCUAGAUUAGCUUCCUGUGUAGGACAGUCUUUUUCUCUUCUUUCUUUGGCUUUAGUAGGCCUUUGAUCUCAGUUCACCAGCAAAGAAGGGGAGCCCAGGAGUCAGAGUGCUGUUAUCUCAGAGAUAAGAGUCAGUGAGCUGGAGAGGAUGCACGGGAGGGGAGCCCUGUGUGCAGCUGGAGAGGAUGCACGGGAGGGGAGCCCUGUGUGCAGCUGGAGAGGAUGCAAGUGGUGCAGCCCCUGUGGAGACUGUGGAGGAUCCUCCAAAACUAAAACUAGAGCUACCGUGUGACCCAGCAAUUCCACUCCUGGGUAUUCACCCAAAGGAAAUGAAAACACUCCCUUGAAAAUGUACCAGUGCCUCCACGGCCAUUAUGGCAGUGUUUAAAAGUCAGGACCGGGAAGCAACCCAAGUGUCGUGUUGCAGGUGACGUGUCGCUGCAGACAAUGUGGUUAUGCGAGCAGUGGAAUAGUACUCCGCCACAAAAAGUUGUGAAAUCUUGCCAUUUGCAACAACAUGGUUGUACUAGGAAGGCAUUAUGCUAUGACCUCAAUUACAUAUGGAAUCUAAAAGAAACUAAAAACAAACUCCAACCCCCCCUAAAUAAGUAAAACCCCCCAAAACCAAGCUGAUAGAAAAAGAGCUGAGAUUUGUGGUUAUCAGAGAUGGGGGGUGGAGGUGGAUGAAAGUGGUCAAAAUGUACAAGCUUCCAGUUACAAGAAG